AAUGACGGGUAACAUGUCAUGAGUCUGCAGUAGGCGCAGAUACUUGUUUUAUGAUAUUAAGUUGCAGGUUUCAAUUCUUCGACUAUUGCUAAUGUUUUAGGUAUUAUUAGACUCUAUUAGUAUUGUUUAAAUGAUGGUUGGUAUGACUUAACGAUUAAACAUUAUUUUAAUCGAAAUUAUGAAGUAUUUGAUGAAUGAUGGAUAUGUGCACAUGUAAUGAUCAUGGUGUGUUAAUUUUUGUAAAUUGUGAUGAUGAUAUGAUGUUGUAUGAGCAUGAAAUAUGUUUUUGAAUUAUGAGUAUGUUAUUGUAUGAUGAUAGUUCAGGAGGAGAACUACUAUUGUUGGGAGGGGACUUUAAACAUUAUGUGUUGCAUUGACGUGUUGUGACAUGCAUUCAUUAUGUUGUUGUUGUUGAUAAAAGAAACAAGUUGCAAUCCGAUCAGGGUGGAUUGGUGACUUGUCCCGAAAUCUGAGCAGGGUGGAUUCGGGGUUCGAGUAGGGCCAACCUAGUUCCACAUGCAUACGAGUCUUGUUAGAAUUGUGACUCACAUUGCAUAAUCUAAAUGUUGAAUAUGUGAUUGCUUUUUGUAUGUUGAUAGAUUGGGUGUGAUAAUGAUGUUGUGUGAUUGUUUAAUGUUUAAAUAUUUGAAUUCUACCUUGCAAUUUAUGUUGUUAAUUUAUUGAUGUGAAUUUUCACUCUCUUUUCUUUUAUGUUUUCCAUCAUGGACAUAUUGCAGAUACUCAGGAGUAUAGUUACUGAUGUGAGUGGAAAAUAGCUCUUGGAGUUAUUUUCAUUAGUUAUCGCAUUUAUUAUUAGUCGUUAUGCUUUAAUUCUAUAACACUGGGGUGAACGAUGUUUUCUUUUAUUAUGUUUGAUGUCUACUUUCUUGUUUUGUUGAAGUUUAAUAACUAUUAUGUUGAGUUGUUUUGAAAAUGUUGAGAGUUGGAUAUUGAAAUUCCUUUUGAAUCAUUUUGUGAAAGUUAAGUCUUUAUAAGACCCAAUUUGAAGUUAAUAUAUUUUAUUACCGCAUUUAAUGCGAUUCAGAUGCGAUGAUACCCUAAAUGAAGGUGAGCAUGUG
rnacentral:lncRNA from 1 species